UACGUAGGGUGCGAGCGUUAAUCGGAAUUACUGGGCGUAAAGAGUGCGUAGGCGGUUUCUCAAGUCCGCUGUGAAAUCCCCGGGCUCAACCUGGGAAUGGCAGUGGAAACUAGGAGACUUGAAUCUGGCAGAGGGGGGUGGAAUUCCACGUGUAGCAGUGAAAUGCGUAGAGAUGUGGAGGAACACCGAUGGCGAAGGCAGCCCCCUGGGCUGAGAUUGACGCUCAGGCACGAAAGCGUGGGGAGCAAACAGG
rnacentral:rRNA from 1 species